UGGUGCAGUGGUUAAGCAUUUGGCUGCUAACCAAAAGGUCGGCAGUUUGAAUCUGCC
rfam:Loxodonta africana unplaced genomic scaffold scaffold_32, whole genome shotgun sequence.